AAAAAUAAAAAAAAUAAAAAAAAAUCUUCUUUUUAUAUAUGCCAUAUCUACUUGAACUAAAAUUCCAUUUAGAAAAAGUAAAGAUAAAAACAUACAGAAUUUAUAUGAACCAUGAACAAUUUAAAAAUCAGCUAUUCAAUUUUUUAAUUGAUUCACAUUUUCAGCUAAAUUUAUUUCUUAAUGAAAUAAAACGAAGCUGGUAGCGUGCUACCUAUCUCUCAAAAACUACAGAUCUAGUAAUAGCUUUCUUAACCCAAAAAAAAAAAAAAAUCUUCUUUUUAUAUAUGCCAUCUACUUGAACUGAAAUUCCAUUUAGAAAAAGUAAAGAUAAAAACAUACCGAAUUUAUACGAACCAUGAAUAUUUUUGAAUCAGCUAUUCAAUUUUUUGAAAAUUUGAUUUUACUACCUAAUCUUUUAAUUUGUUUGAUUUAACUUAGUCAACGAUAUUUUGACUUUAAAAUUUAAAUUAAUUAUUCACUUUAAAAAUUUUAUAGUUGCGAGAAUUGCAUGACGUAUUGUAAAGAUAAAUUUCACAUUCAACUUUUGAAGUUAAGAGUGUCGUUGCAUUCAACUUUUAAAGUUAGAGUGUUGUUGACUAACUUAAAUCGAACAAACUGAAAUAGUAAAAUCAAAAUUUUAAAAAAUUAGAUUACCAACUAAAAAUAGUCCAUAAUUUGGAUGAGUUCUAUAAAUUUUUACUAAAGUGAAAACCUUGCCAAAUAUAGGCCUUUGUGAAAUAGAGCUCUCAAUUUACUUAUUUUUGUUUACACAAGAAUCCUUUAACUUCUGAUUUUUUUCAUUUGUUUACAUAAUUUUAGUCAAUUAAAAUAGAAAUUUAUUCAUUGCUAAUUCGAUUAAAUUUAACCGUUGCAACCACCUUUUAGCCCAAAGACAUAUUAAUUAUAUAAAAUAUUUAAAUAUUAUUCUCCACCAGCUUAAACUUAUAAAGAAUAAUAAUAAUUUCGUAUUAUUUAACAUAAUAUCAGAGCAGGAGGUCAUGAAUUCAAGUCACGCUACACACUUCUAUUAUUAUUAAUUCCCUUUCAUUUAAUUCAAGUUCACAUCACGGACCUAGCAAAAAAUGUUUUAUUUAUUUCACAAGAUAUAUUUUUCCUUUAAAAUUUUUAAAUUUGGUACCCAAAAAC
rnacentral:lncRNA from 1 species